AGGUGAUAGAUGGGAGGGUUCCUCAGUGUUUCUAAAGGUGAUAGAUGGGAGGGUUCCUCAGUGUUUCUAAAGGUGAUAGAUGGGAGGGUUCCUCAGUGUUUCUAAAGGUGAUAGAUGGGAGGGUUCCUCAGUGUUUCUAAAGGUGAUAGACGGGAGGGUUCCUCAGUGUUUCUAAAGGUGAUAGAUGGGAGGGUUCCUCAGUGUUUCUAAAGGUGAUAGAUGGGAGGGUUCCUCAGUGUUUCUAAAGGUGAUAGAUGGGAGGGUUCCUCAGUGUUUCUAAAGGUGAUAGAUGGGAGGGUUCCUCAGUGUUUCUAAAGGUGAUAGAUGGGAGCGUUCCUCAGUGAUAGAUGGGAGGGUUCCUCAGUGUUUCUAAAGGUGAUAGAU